rnacentral:rRNA from 1 species
UACGUAGGGGCUAGCGUUGCUCGGAAUCACUGGCGUAAAGCGCACGUAGGCGGAUUGCUAAGUCAGGGUGAAAUCCUGGAGCUCAACUCCAGAACUGCCCUUGAUACUGGCGGUCUCGAGUCCGGGAGAGGUGAGUGGAACUGCGAGUGUAGAGGUGAAAUUCGUAGAUAUUCGCAAGAACACCAGUGGCGAAGGCGGCUCACUGGCCCGGUACUGACGCUGAGGUGCGAAAGCGUGGGAGCAAACAGG